rnacentral:rRNA from 1 species
AUACGGAGGGGGUUAGCGUUGUUCGGAAUUACUGGGCGUAAAGCGCACGUAGGCGGACUGGAAAGUUGGGGGUGAAAUCCCGGGGCUCAACCCCGGAACUGCCUCCAAAACUUCCAAUCUAGAGAUCGAGAGAGGUGAGUGGAAUUCCAAGUGUAGAGGUGAAAUUCGUAGAUAUUUGGAGGAACACCAGUGGCGAAGGCGGCUCACUGGCUCGAUACUGACGCUGAGGUGCGGAAGCGUGGGGAGCAAACAGGAUUAGAUACCCCGGUAGUCC